ACACAUUACCUCUGCCUCCUCCAUCAAGGAGUACGCGGCCAAGCCAAAUCUAUUCUCUCCGUGACCACAACGCCGCCGCCGCCGCCACCAGUGAUUCUGCCUAGCUCCGGCGCUUGCUGCGCCGCUGCUCACAGGAGCAGCUACCCCUCACUACCCUUCCCCGAUCCCUGGCCAUGGCGACUUCCUCCGCGCCCACAUGCGGCCCGCCGCAACCCUAGUUAACCACAGGUCACCAACGCCCCGCGCCUCCUCUGUCUUGUCGAUCUACUGCCCCGCGCCUCCUCUGGUUUGUCGACCUACUGCCCCGCGCCACGUCUCCGCACGCGCCGCUCCCGGCUCGGCCUUGGUGGUGCUGCUCCGCCUCAGCAAUCUCGACUCCGACGCCGCUCACGGUUCAGCAAGCCACUCCUCCUCUGACCCGCUCUUCUCUUACACUAUUUGGUUCUUUCUGUGGCAGGCCAGGGCGGAUUCUUUGCCGGCCAUCGUGAUGACAAUCCACUCUACCUUGACUGCUCAUCCCGAUCCACCGCCGCGGGCGCUGGCUUGCACCGGCAUCAAUGUCACUACACUCCGUAAAUCAGAGGAUGCCUAACAUCACACGGUAAUGAUCUGCCCACGGUGUUUUCAAGUGGAGAGGCGGAUGAUUUAAAGUGCUAGUAUCAGAAUAUUAGAUCACUGGUGGCGUGUUGUCUGCUGGAAGCAAUUCGCCUAGAGGGGAAAGGGUGUCCGUUGUACUGGGAGUGAGUACAAUCGACGGCGAGGCACACGUGGGUGGGGAGGAAACACUUGGUGCUAGGUUAAAGGAAGGGCUGAGUAUGAUUAGUCCGGUGUAGUUACAGGUGUUGGCCUCUAGCUUGCUGUCAAAGACGUGUUCUUGCAGAGGACCAGAGUAAUGCUUUAAUUCCCGCCAAUGCAUCAAUGCAAGGAUACCAGAAUAUGGGUUGCUUUAGACUUUCCUGGAGGAACUGGUGACAAAAUACACAGAAAUCAAGUUUGUUAAAUUAUCUCCACUAACUAUAUUCCCAACUACCCAUAUAGGAUGUUUCCAAAGGGAUUUUUGUUGGUCUGCAGCAGCUUUGUGGGACGAAAUGCACACCUGAAUUUGGCUGGACAAAAAAAAUAACAGUGUGUGUGGCUAUGUUAAAGUUGCAAUUACCCAAUCGCAGUAUACAAUUUACAAUAUUUGUGUAUACUGUCAUCAAGAUGCCUUAACUGGAGCAUUGCCAGUCAGUUCUAGUACCGAACCAUGGGCAGGGUGGCGGUAAUUCAUCCUAUAACAAUGUCAUAGAAGGCAUUCGCAGGAAGUUCAUAGAGAAGCUUGUCAUCCAACAUGAAGGACGAUGGAGACGAAGAUGAUGCAUGGCUAAGUUGUUGAUAGAAAGGUCGAGAAUGGGGCUACUACAAGAUAGUUUUACAUUUACGUUAUACAAUGCCAGUUUCAUGGUUAAUAAAUAGGAGAUCAUGUAAUAUCUUUAUCAGAUUGUGUUCCAUGUAAUGCAAACCGAUUUGAUUAAAUAUAUAAAAUCUUUCUGUUUA